rnacentral:rRNA from 1 species
AACGAACGCUGGCAGCAGGCUUAACACAUGCAAGUCGAGCGCCCCGCAAGGGGAGCGGCAGACGGGUGAGUAACGCGUGGGAAUCUACCCAUCUCUACGGAAUAACGCACGGAAACGUGUGCUAAUACCGUAUACGUCCUUCGGGAGAAAGAUUUAUCGGAGAUGGAUGAGCCCGCGUUGGAUUAGCUAGUUGGUGGGGUAAAGGCCUACCAAGGCGACGAUCCAUAGCUGGUCUGAGAGGAUGAUCAGCCACACUGGGACUGAGACACGGCCCAGACUCCUACGGGAGGCAGCAGUGGGGAAUAUUGGACAAUGGGCGCAAGCCUGAUCCAGCCAUGCCGCGUGAGUGAUGAAGGCCCUAGGGUUGUAAGGCUCUUUCACCGGUGAAGAUAAUGACGGUAACCGGAGAAGAAGCCCCGGCUAACUUCGUGCCAGCCGCCGCGGUAAAAC